rnacentral:lncRNA from 10 species
UGACCAACAUGGAGAAACCCUGUCUCUACUAAAAAUACAAAAUUAGCUGGGCGUGGUGGCCCAUACCCAUAGUCCCAGCUACUCAGGAGGCUGAGGCAGGAGAAUUACUUGAACCCGGGAGGCGGAGUUUGUGGUAAGCCAAGAUCACGCCGCUGCACUCCAGCCUGGGCAACAAGCGCGCUGGAUCAUGGGCCCCUUUGGAAAAGAAGGAGGCCAAGUCCAUGACCUCAGAGGCCAGGGUCAAACGGAGCAUGCCCAUACAUGCAUGCUCAUACGUGUGCACGAGCACACACACACACACUGACAAGGCGAGAAGCUGUAGGAGAGGUAUAUGUGUAUACACAUGUAUGUGGGUGUAUGUGUAUACACAUGUAUGUGUGUGCAUGUGUGUUCAUGUGAAUGUGUGCAUGUAUGUGUGCACGUGUGCAUAUGAAUAUGCAUGUGUGAGUGUGCCUGUGUGUGCAUGUGUGAGCAUGUGCGUGUGUGCAUGUG